GUAGGGAAUAUUGGACAAUGGGGGCAACCCUGAUCCAGCAAUGCCGCGUGAGUGAUGAAGGCCUUAGGGUUGUAAAGCUCUUUUACCCGGGAUGAUAAUGACAGUACCGGGAGAAUAAGCUCCGGCUAACUCCGUGCCAGCAGCCGCGGUAAUACGGAGGGAGCUAGCGUUGUUCGGAAUUACUGGGCGUAAAGCGCGCGUAGGCGGCUGUUUAAGUCAGAGGUGAAAGCCUGGAGCUCAACUCCAGAACUGCCUUUGAGACUGGACAGCUAGAAUCCUGGAGAGGUGAGUGGAAUUCCGAGUGUAGAGGUGAAAUUCGUAGAUAUUCGGAAGAACACCAGUGGCGAAGGCGGCUCACUGGACAGGUAUUGACGCUGAGGUGCGAAAGCGUGGGGAGCAAACAGGAUUAGAAACCCCAGUAGUCC
rnacentral:rRNA from 1 species